rfam:Loxodonta africana unplaced genomic scaffold scaffold_43, whole genome shotgun sequence.
GGCUCCAUCGCUCAGGGGUUAGAGCACCGGUCUUGUAAACCAGGGGUCACAAGUUCAAAUCUUGCUGGGGCCU